rnacentral:rRNA from 1 species
AAAACAAUGAUGAACGCUAGCGACAGGCCUAACACAUGCAAGUCGAGGGGCAGCACAGUGUAGCAAUACAUAGGUGGCGACCGGCGCACGGGUGAGUAACGCGUAUGCAACCUGCCUACAACAGGGGGAUAACCCGGAGAAAUCCGGACUAAUACCGCAUAAAACAGGGGUCCCGCAUGGGAGUAUUUGUUAAAGAUUUAUCGGUUGUAGAUGGGCAUGCGUUCCAUUAGUUGGUUGGUGAGGUAACGGCUCACCAAGACGUCGAUGGAUAGGGGAACUGAGAGGUUUGUCCCCCACACUGGAACUGAGACACGGACCAG